ACGCGGCUUAUUUUCACGCUACAACUCUAGUGAAUCUCCAGACUCAAGAAUUCAUCUAAGAUUAGAUUAGUCUACUAUUAAAAACUCUGCAAAGGACAGUCCUAAGCCCUGCUGAAAAAGGAGGAUGGUUGGGUGUAGGCCAGUGUAGGGCUAGCUGCCCUACUAGUCUCUACCAUGUUGAAAAACCACCAGCUAAUGAAAACCAAAAGAUGCCAUGGACCUCCAGCUAGAAGGUGUGUAUGACACUGGUUGACAAAAGCCAUUAUUAUCAUCUGAAAGCUCACAGAAGACCAUUAGAAUGAUUAGAUCUUCUCCACCAGGACCAUCACCACCAUCAGUACUAAGGAGGAUCUGAACUAUGUACUAGACUAGAAAGUCAGUGCAUGUGGCAGUAGGGAUGAACAAGUUUAACCUUGCCAUCCAAAGAAUCAAUGAAUCAAGAUAGAUUGGUUCUCAGCAGAAGCAACUGAUUUAUGGUGAGCUAUAGCAUUACUCAGGACAGGGGCGUGAGGACGCUACACACACUCCUGAUGAAGACAGCACAGAGUGUGUUUAUUCACAUUAUUAGGCUUAUUGGAUUGGGAGGCAUACAGCCCACGGGUUACAUCUUCCUUUCAUAUAGAAGGAGGAUAAACUUGGACAUAUUAUAAUGCAUUGCUAUGCUCCAAUGAAGGAUAGAGAAGAGGAGAAAAUCUACUUCCGCAACAGAUGCUUACUGUUAUACCAGACAAACCAAAGAAAAACAUAGACUUCAAUGCAAGAUUGUCAGUGACAGCAAAGAAUAUGGAAAGACAUUGUGCUGUUUGUGAGGAGCACAAUCCUUGCAUUAUUAAAUCAUUGCAAUGUGAUAAAAUAUGUCUUGGUGAACUGGCUGAGAAGGACACAAUUAUUACAUCACUUCACUGUCAUCUUGAUAAACUGGUUGAGCAAGACAUUUAAACCAUGACAUAACUUCAUUGUGAUAAACUACAGCUCUAAGAUACAUUUUAAGAAUGAAGAGAUUUUAAAGCUAUCAAUCCCAAUUCAGCAAUCCCUUGAAUGUCAUCAUCUUCACUGAUAACUAAGAAGUCUUAUCAUUCACCUUUUUAGCAUCUUCAGUUUUAUAUCAUCACAUCCAACAAAUCUGCAUAGCUGGCUUCAACAGCUCACCUGUGCUUUUUUUUGUGUGUGUGUGUGUGUGUGUUCUCUCUCUCUCAAGCUUCUUAUAUGUCUAGGCCAAAAGGUGAGUUAAUUUUAGUGUGAGUAAAAUAUUUCAGAUUAAAAGUAAUUAAUUAGUUAGUCAAAAAUUUGUGUAAUGAAAACAAACAGCUAUUAUAAUAAAUGUCAGUGUUUAACAGGGAUACACUUGUAGACAGUUUUGAAGUUUGAUAUCUGUGAGACUUUAUUUUAUUAUAUUUGUCUCUAAAAUAUGCAUUUUUUUCACAGCCUUAGAAUUGUAUACUGUACACUGCAGUGGUAUAUAAAUGUCUGUAGCAGGUGAUGAUAGUGGAGGUCCGAGAGCAAUUGGCGCCAGGCUUGUGUCAGUACUGGGGCAAGCCCCCUGUGAUAUUCCUGUUUCAGUGUUACUUGUUAGUUUCAUGUGAAAAAAUCUUUAUGAAAAAUAAUAGUUUGAUGCUCUCACAUCAAUCACGUCUUCAGUUCCAUAUCGCUAGCCAUUUGCUAAUCAUCAUGACCUC